UAAAUUUGGGUUGUUUAUUUAUUGGUAUUGCAUAUCAUUUUAGGAAAAUUUUAUAGUAAAUAAAAUAUAGAAUUAAAAGGUAGAAAAAGUUUAUUGUUUUAUUGUUUCAUAAUAAAAAUUAAAUUUUUUAGGGUUGAAAAGUCGACUUUUAAGAUAUCUGUUUUGGUUUAUAUAAUUAGAAAUUUAUUAUUAAGAUUUAUCACUUUUAUAAAAAGUAAAAGUUGAAGUAUUUUUAUUUUUAGUUUUAUAACAGUUUAUAUGUUUUAGUUAUAGUUUAUUUGUAUUUAUAAUAAAAUUUUAUUAUAUUAAUUAUCUAAAAAUUAGUAAUAAAUAUAAAAAAAAAUUUUUUAUUUAAAAUAUAAUUAAAGAAUUCAAAGUUUAAUCAAAUGUUUUUUAAAGACUUAGACUUUUAAGUAAAGUUUGCUUCUGCCCAGUGAUAAUUAUUAAAUGGCAGUCUUAGCGUGAGGACAUUAAGGUAGCAAAAUAAUUUGUGCUUUUAUUGAGUUCCAGUAUGAAUGAAGUUAUUGGUUAAUUAUUUUUUAAUUUUUAUUUUGAAUUUUAAAUCAGUAAUAAAAAAUUAUUGUUAUAAUAAUACAAAGAUAAGUCUUCGGAAAUUCUUUUUUAAUAUUAAUAAUUUUAUUAUUAUUAAAUGUUUUCUAGGGCAGAAUUUUAGAUAAUUUAUUUUUCUAUUUAUAAUUUAAUGAAUUACUCCGGAGUUAACAGAAAAUCAUAUCUAAUCUAGUUCUUAUAGUAAGAUAAGUUUUACAUCGAUGUUGUAUUUAAGUUUGUUAAAAAAGGAGAAAAUUUAAGUUUUAAGACUGUUCUUCUUGUAAUUAAUUUAACGUGAUAUUAGUUUAAUUCAUUGUGAGAUAGAAUUGUUUAUCUUGAUUAUUAUUUUUUGUUAGUUUUAAUAGUACGAAAGGAAAAUUAAAAAAAGUUUAAAACUUUAUGGGUUUCCCUGUUU
rnacentral:rRNA from 1 species